rnacentral:rRNA from 1 species
GAUGAACGCUGGCGGCGUGCCUAGUACAUGCAAGUCGAGCGAACGGACGAGAAGCUUGCUUUUCUGAUGUUAGCGGCGGACGGGUGAGUAACACGUGGAUAACCUACCUAUAAGACUGGGAUAACUUCGGGAAACCGGAGCUAAUACCGGAUAAUAUUUUGAACCGCAUGGUUCAAAAGUGAAAGACGGUCUUGCUGUCACUUAUAGAUGGAUCCGCGCUGCAUUAGCUAGUUGGUAAGGUAACGGCUUACCAAGGCAACGAUGCAUAGCCGACCUGAGAGGGUGAUCGGCCACACUGGAACUGAGACACGGUCCAGACUCCUACGGGAGGCAGCAGUAGGGAAUCUUCCGCAAUGGGCGAAAGCCUGACAGAGCAACGCCGCGUGAGUGAUGAAGGUCUUCGGAUCGUAAAACUCUGUUAUUAGGGAAGAACAUAUGUGUAAGUAACUGUGCACAUCUUGACGGUACCUAAUCAGAAAGCCACGGCUAACUACGUG